CAGUCGCCGCGGUAAUACGAAGGGUGCAAGCGUUAAUCGGAAUUACUGGGCGUAAAGCGUGCGUAGGCGGUGAGUUAAGUCUGCUGUGAAAUCCCCGGGCUCAACCUGGGAAUGGCAGUGGAUACUGGCUCGCUAGAGUGUGUCAGAGGAUGGUGGAGUUCCCGGUGUAGCGGUGAAAUGCGUAGAGAUCGGGAGGAACAUCAGUGGCGAAGGCGGCCAUCUGGGACAACACUGACGCUGAGGCACGAAAGCGUGGGGAGCAAACAGGAUUAGAUACCCCCGUAGUCCCUGUCUCUUAUAC
rnacentral:rRNA from 1 species